rnacentral:tRNA from 3 species
GCCGGGGUGUCGGAAUUGGUAGACGAUACGGGCUUAAAACCCGUUGGAGGUAAAACUCCGUGUGGGUUCGAAUCCCACCCCCGGCACCA